UAUCGCAACGAGAGUUUGCUUAAGUCUUAUCAAUUGACCGUGGCUGUUGGCAACCUGUUAAACAACAAUCUUGACUAUUGCGUUCUGCGACCAGAAGAUCCUGGGGGCUACAUCGAGGUCGCUUUGCCAAUCUCAUCAAAUUUUCCAAAAUGCCAUUAAACUUUCUCUAGUUUAAUGGCGGUUAGAGCAGUCAAGACAUCCCUCUAAGGAAAUCUUCUCUUUGAACCACUUUUGCAAGGAAAAUCAAGGAAGGAUAAUUAGUGGACAAACAUUGUCGGGGCAAUUGUUUCGGGCAGUUGUUUAAGGAGCCAUUGCCGAGUUUGCGAACUUCACAAAAUGUACAUCAAAAAUAUAUUUUUUUCGAAACGUCAA